GCUCAAGGAAAUAAGAGAGGACACAAACAGAUGGAAAAACAUUCCAUGCUUAUGGUUAGGAAGAAUUCAUAUUGUAAAAAUGGCUAUGCUGCCCGAAGUAAGUUAUAGAUUUGGUGCUAUUCACAUCAAACUACUAUUGGCAUUCUUAACAGAAUUAGAAAAAAACAGUUGAAAUUUUAUAUGGAACCCAGAAAGAGCCCAUAUAGCCAAGAUAAUC